rnacentral:rRNA from 1 species
UAAUACGUAGGUGGCAAGCGUUGUCCGGAAUUAUUGGGCGUAAAGCGCGCGCAGGCGGAUUGGUCAGUCUGUCUUAAAAGUUCGGGGCUUAACCCCGUGAUGGGAUGGAAACUGCCAAUCUAGAGUAUCGGAGAGGAAAGUGGAAUUCCUAGUGUAGCGGUGAAAUGCGUAGAUAUUAGGAAGAACACCAGUGGCGAAGGCGACUUUCUGGACGAAAACUGACGCUGAGGCGCGAAAGCCAGGGGAGCGAACGGGAUUAGAUACCCCGGUAGUCCUGGCCGUAAACGAUGGGUACUAGGUGUAGGAGGUAUCGACCCCUUCUGUGCCGGAGUUAACGCAAUAAGUACCCCGCCUGGGGAGUACGACCGCAAGGUUG